UACAGAGGUCUCGAGCGUUGUUCGGAUUCAUUGGGCGUAAAGGGCGCGUAGGCGGCGGGGUAAGUCUGGUGUGAAAUCUCGGAGCUCAACUCCGAAACUGCACUGGAUACUGCUCUGCUAGAGGGCUGGAGAGGAGAUCGGAAUUCAUGGUGUAGCAGUGAAAUGCGUAGAGAUCAUGAGGAAGACCAGUGGCGAAGGCGGGUCUCUGGACAGUUCCUGACACUGAGGCACGAAGGCCAGGGGAGCAAACAGG
rnacentral:rRNA from 1 species